CUUCCACAGUGGAUUUAAACCUUACAACUGUGAGUUGUGUGGAAAGUCUUUUAACUGGGCUGGAAACUUAAAAAGACACCAACUCAUCCACAGUGUAGUUAAAUCUUACAGCUGUGAGUUGUGUGGUAAGACUUUGGCUCAAAAUACCAACUUACAGAGGCAUCUAGUUACCCACUCUGGAAUUAAGGCGUACAGCUGCGACUUUUGUGGAAAAAGUUUCCGCGACAAACACUACCGAAAUAUUCACCUGCGGAUUCACACUGGAAAUGAUGUUUACUGCUGUGAUCAGUGUGGGAAACCAUUUACAACAGAUGCACAGUUACAACAACACAUGUUUAGCCACACUGAGGAGAGACCUUACAAAUGUGACCUGUGUGAGAAGACCUUUAAAUCUCCAUAUCACCUGAAAAAACACCAACAGAUCCACACCAGAAAGUAACUCUAGAAGUGCAGUUACUGUGAGAAGUAGAGCAACGCACAUGGAUCCAUUUCUCAACCCUGUCGUCACUGUGGUGGUGGGAAAGAGUUUCUCUGUGACCUUUGUGGAAAAACCUUCAGUCAUGAACGGGACCUAAAACCACAUCAACGUAGACACUGGAGGCAAAAUGAACUACUGCAAAGAAUGUGGGAGAGGCUUCCACAAACCAUAUAUACAUGAACUCUUCCACAGUGGGGUCAAGAAGCACAUAUGUGACCAGUGUGGGUCAUCCUUCACCACUGCA